rnacentral:rRNA from 1 species
AUGGACAUGGAUCAACAAAGAUAUUAUUAUUACAACAUGUUGAAGCGGAGAACUCUCUGUGUUAUUGUUCUACUCUUGGCCCUCUGGUAUAGAAGCAGAGAUGGUAGAAAAUUUAGAGAGGAACAAGUUGCAAUGUUCCUAUACAUGGUCGGUCAGCAUCACACAAAUUCAUCUGUUGGAUUUUGGUUCUGGCGAUCUAGUGAAACAGUGAGCAGAUAUUUCAAUAUUGUCCUACGUGCGAUGGGGGAGUUAGCACGUGAUCUAAUUUAUAUUAGAUCGACGGACACACACACAAAAAUCACUAGCAGCCCGAACAGAUUCUACCCGUACUUUGAGGGAUGCAUAGGGGCACUAGAUGGCACUCAUGUUAAGGCUUGUGUUCCUGCUCACAUGAUGGACAAAUUUAGGGGCCGCAAGUCAUAUCCCUCCCAAAAUGUGCUAGCAGUUGUUGACUUCGACCUUCGGUUCACAUAUGUUCUAGCUGGUUGGGAGGGCUCUGCCCAUGAUUCUCUUGUGCUAAAAGAUGCCCUCUCACGUCCAACUGUUGCUGAAGAUGGGUGUUUGUAUGCUGGUCGGGACUAUGCUUCUAGUGCAUUUGUUGAUGGCUCGCUUGCAACUGACCAAACCACUGUCAAUGUGGAUGAUGAUAGUGAUGACAGCGAGGAAGUGAGGGAACUUGAGGCCAAUCUAAUUCCAGUUGACAGUGAUGAAGCUGACUCUGACACUAUUAAUCGUCAUAGUCCUAAAGUUGACUUGGAAGGCAAUUCUUUAAACAAGAAGUGCAAGCACGUGUCAUCUUCACCUUCCAAGAAGCCAACUAAGGGGAAAGCAAACAAGAAGGGCAAGAUAUCUAAUGAUGAUAUGGCAGCCAGUAUCAAGAAGCUAGCUGACUCUCUUGCAUCUCCUAUUGUUUCUGUGCAACCAAUGCCACCUACAGAUCCAUAUGCAAACCUUUGGAAGCGGAUAAAUGCCCUUACCAUACCAGCUAAGGAUAAACUUGAGAUUGUAGCAUAUCUAUCCAAGCCAGAUCAAGAUAUCUUUCGUAGUUACCUCAACUAUGCUGAUGAAACAAUUCUUGGACAGUGGGUCCUUAGCUUCUUCGAGCCUCGGUUUCAAGAAGAUGGUGGCAAUGGUGGAUCUGCAACUGCUCACUGA